GACGAACGCUGGCGGCGUGCUUAACACAUGCAAGUCGAACGGAAAGGCCCUGCUUUUGUGGGGUGCUCGAGUGGCGAACGGGUGAGUAACACGUGAGUAACCUGCCCUUGACUUUGGGAUAACUUCAGGAAACUGGGGCUAAUACCGGAUAGGAGCUCCUGCUGCAUGGUGGGGGUUGGAAAGUUUCGGCGGUUGGGGAUGGACUCGCGGCUUAUCAGCUUGUUGGUGGGGUAGUGGCUUACCAAGGCUUUGACGGGUAGCCGGCCUGAGAGGGUGACGGGCCACCUUGGGACUGAGAUACGGCCCAGACUCCUACGGGAGGCAGCAGUGGGGAAUAUUGCACAAUGGGCGGAAGCCUGAUGCAGCAACGCCGCGUGCGGGAUGACGGCCUUCGGGUUGUAAACCGCUUUCGCCUGUGACGAAGCGUGAGUGACGGUAAUGGGUAAAGAAGCACCGGCUAACUACGUG
rnacentral:rRNA from 1 species